UACGUAGGUGGCAAGCGUUGUCCGGAUUACUGGGCGUAAAGGGCGUGCAGGCGGUCUGCUAAGUCUAGGGUGAAAGCUCCCGGCUUAACCGGGAGAGGUACUUGGAUACUGGCGGACUUGAGGGAGGUAGAGGAGAGUGGAAUUCCCGGUGUAGUGGUGAUAUGCGUAGAUAUCGGGAGGAACACCAGUGGCGAAGGCGGCUCUCUGGGCCUUUCCUGACGCUGAGACGCGAAAGCUAGGGGAGCAAACGGG
rnacentral:rRNA from 1 species